rnacentral:rRNA from 1 species
GACGAACCGUGCAAACGUUAUUCGGAAUCACUGGGCAUAAAGGGCGCGUAGGCGGCUUCCUAAGUCAGGGGUGAAAUCCGGCAGCUCAACUGUCGCAGUGCCUUUGAUACUGGGAAGCUCGAGGGAUGUAGGGGUCUGUGGAACUUCCGGUGGAGCGGUGAAAUGCGUAGAUAUUGGGAGGAACACCGGUGGCGAAGGCGGCCACCUGGGCCGGAACUGACGCUGAGGCGCGAAAGCGUGGGGAGCAAACGGG